GGGCCAUGAUGAUUUGAGUCGAUAGUUUUCGCCUCUCAUCUUUGGUAUCGACAAUCUUUACAUCUGUUGGGUGGAGGGGCCGCAGACUUGACCAUAGAGAGACAUGAAGUGUGAGGUCUGCUGCCUGCCCCAGCACACACACACUGGUGCGUGUGCGCAUGCGCAUACGCGUGCAUGUGCGCGCGCGUGCCUCAGUUCCCCCAUCUCAGUACGUUCUGGUGACUGACUCUCUCAUGCUGAGGAGAAGCUUCUGCUGCUGCAGUGGUGGUGCAGAGGUACAGGACUCAGUGCAGAGCAGGAGGUGCUGUCUACAAUGUCCUCAGAAUGAAGCUUCUGCGCCUUCUGCUUCAUUGGCCUACAAGAUCACUCCCUCCCUGGCUCUUGUUCAAGUUCUUGCGUAAGGUUCCCCGAAGCAGAUGCCUCAUCCGCACUUCAAGUUCCCUUACUCGCAGCCAACCACAGUCCCAACGUAUCAAAUAGAACAUUCCAGGGACAAUUCGAGGGAUUCUGGCUAAACCACCCUAGCUACAUUCUCAGUGAAGGAGUGAAUGGCCCACCUGUAAAGUCGGAUGGCCUAAGGAGGGGACUUUCCAUCUCCCCGUCAUUUACAAGGAUGGUCAGCCUCGGCCCCCUGCCUUGCUUCCUCUUUCAACUUCCAAGAAGUCCCUGUUCCUGUUUCUGCUGCCCCUGCUGCUGCUACCUCUGCCUAGCCAGCACAGGCAGAAGAGGGAAGAGCAGCCCCUGACUCUUCUGACUUCACUUGGAGUCCACCUCACACUCUGGCCCCAAUUGCCUAGAUAGUGAGCCGACUCUACCAUGGUCUUACUUCUCCAGUAAGUACGGGACCCCCAGAUGCUCAGGGAAGACAGUUCAUGUCAUAUGUGUUAUUUGCCAGUAAUGAUCUUUACAGCCAGAAGUUACAGAACCCCCCCAUUUUUAGAAAGACCAUCAGCUCUCACGGGUCUUCUAGUUUCAAUCAUGCUGACUGACUUACCUACCCUGGAUGACUGUCAGCAACUGCUCCUGGUCCUCUUCACAACAGAGUGGGAGGGAGAGGAUCCUGGGACCCCGCCCAGAAAUUUGGUUCUGGGAGCAAAUGGACUGCCUACUCUGUUCAGGCUGAUAUCUAUCGAUGCAGCCUUUCAUUUGACUGGGAUUUUAACGCUCCCCAAGUGACCUGUCAUCAAGCGGAGUUUCUGGGGGUCGAGUUCUCUACACCUGGGCCUCUGGAGAUCCAACACCCUCAGAGAAAGGGGAUAGCAAAAGGGGGUGCUCACCCCCUGUAUAGCCCUGGCUGUCCUGGAACUCACUUUGUAGACCAGGCUGGCCUUGAACUCAGAAAUCCGCCUGCCUCUGCCUCCCGAGGGCUGGGAUUAAAGGCGUGCGCCGCCACACCCGGCUUGUUAUUUUUAUAGAUACCGUUUCAGGAUGGGUAGAAGUCUACCCUACAAAGAAGGAGACUCCCAAUGUCCUGGCAAAGCAGCUUCUGGAGGGCCUCAGACCCAGGUGAAACCAGAAUCUGUCUGGAUUCAGAGACACAACCACAAGACUCUGGAACCUGGCAGGAAAGGGCCUCACACUGCCAUCCUGACCACACCUAUGGCUGUUAAGGUGGACCGGAUCUGGAUACACCCCUCUCACCUUAAGUCUGCCAGCUGAGGUC